AGCCGAUCUCACUCAAACUACUCGGUUUUCCGGAAAUCGAGUACAAUACGCCUUUUUUGGGUCGUUUUGAUGUUUGCAAUGGUAAUAUUUGUCCAAUAGCGUAUUGGUCUUUUCAAAUCUGGCAACGAUGAUUACCUGUAUAUUGUCGUCGUAUCAUGCCGUUUCACCGCUAGACAAAGCGUAUACACAAUUUUCUAUGACUGGCCACGUAACUGUUAUUCAUCAAAACGUGACAACGGCCCGUUUCGGCUCGGGCCCCAGAAAUAUGCACGAGUUAAUUGCGACAAGUCUACUCGAUCCGCGCUGGGUUGGCCCGUCAGGACGGCCCGAGAUAUUAUACGCUGUUCUAAAACGGAACAGGAGCUCUCCGGCGCUCGAUAAUUUCACUGAUUUUCGAACGGAAAUCGUUUUGCGGAAAAAACGGCACGG